GCAAUGCAAGGAGCCAACAGAGCAUGGCGUGGAAAAGGCUCUUCUUGUGGGUGUAGCUUGCGGGGCAAGCUACUUGCUCAUCGGUACCCAAUCUCUCUGUGCUUGCUGUUAACAGAAACCCAUUCUUUUAUGAAGUUCAUCCUCCUGAACAAUUACAUGGAAGAUGUUAUAGGAAAUGCCAUGCAUUUGCACAGCAUGAAGAAGGAGUUAUUCCUCACCCUGAAACCUGUCUUUAAGGAUUAACUAUGUUCUUCUGCAUGCCCCACACGGGAGGCUGAACAGAUGUUACGGAACAUGAUUAAGGCUUGCAGGAAUCAAGAAGACAAAGCAGGAGUUGAAUUAUCACAGAAGAAGAAUAAAGAGCAGAAUUUGAGCCCUUCACAGCCAAUCUGUUCUGCUCCUGCAAGGAAUAUACAACUAAGUCCUAUCCCAAUGCUGUGCUGAAGUCCCAUCUCCUCUCCAGAUGUCCAUCUUUUCUUGCACUUAAUUCUGGUCACACUGAUGCUCAGACCAGAAAUAAGGAAAGGAAAAAAUGAAAACAACUGUUAUG